GUGUCACGGUCAUUAGUGGGAAUAAACAAUUCACUAACUUCACAAAUAUGGUCCGAUAAUUUAGCAUCAUGAAAGCCGGGACCAUGUGCUCGACGAUUACAUUAGAAUCAUCUAUAAAAGGAAGAUAAAUUAACAGCACGGAUAAGACAAUUCUGGGCUAAAACUUUACUAUUUUAAACAUUCUUAUCUGCUGUUUACCAACUCCCUCUCUGACUUAAGCAUCGGAGGAUCCCGUCGGAUACAAUUUCGGUCUGUGAGGACUUUAUCUUGCAGAUGCUUUUCACCAGCAACAGA
rnacentral:lncRNA from 1 species